GAUCAUGGCUCAGGAUGAACGCUGGCGGCGUGCCUAAUACAUGCAAGUCGAACGAGCGAGAUCCAGCUUGCUGGAUUAGCGAGUGGCGAACGGGUGAGUAAUACGUAAGCAACCUGCCUACACGGACUGGGAUAACACCUGGAAACGGGCGCUAAUACCGGAUAGGUAAUGAGAAGGCAUCUUCUUAUUAUUAAAGGUUUGAAACACAAGUAGAUGGGCUUACGGUGCAUUAGCUAGUUGGUGAGGUAACGGCCCACCAAGGCGAUGAUGCAUAGCCGGCCUGAGAGGGUGAACGGCCACAUUGGGACUGAGACACGGCCCAGACUCCUACGGGAGGCAGCAGUAGGGAAUUUUCGGCAAUGGGCGCAAGCCUGACCGAGCAACGCCGCGUGAAGUGAUGAAGGUUUUCGGAUCGUAAAGCUCUGUUGUAAGGGAAGAAUGGCGCGGAUAGACUCCGCGAUUGACGGUACCUUACCAGAAAGCCACGGCUAACUACGUGCCAGCCGCCGC
rnacentral:rRNA from 1 species